UACGUAGGGUGCGAGCGUUGUCCGGAAUUACUGGGCGUAAAGAGCUCGUAGGUGGUUUGUCGCGUUGUUCGUGAAAACUCACAGCUCAACUGUGGGCGUGCGGGCGAUACGGGCAGACUGGAGUACUGCAGGGGAGACUGGAAUUCCUGGUGUAGCGGUGGAAUGCGCAGAUAUCAGGAGGAACACCGGUGGCGAAGGCGGUUCUCUGGGCCGAUACUGACGCUGAGGAGCGAAAGCGUGGGGAGCGAACAGG
rnacentral:rRNA from 1 species